GAAGUCGGAGAGACAGUCACGGGUCCAUUCCCGCCAAAGGAAAGGUUUCGAGGAAAGUCCGAGCUCCACAGGGCAGGGUGCUGGUUAACGGCCAGGGGGAGCGAUCCCACGGAAAGUGCCACAGAAAACAAACCGCCACGCCUUCGGGACGUGGUAAGGGUGAAACGGCGAGGUAAGAGCUCACCGCGUCUUCGGCGACGAAGAUGGCAGGGUAAACCCCACCUGGAGCAAGACCAAAUAGAGGAGGAUGAGGCGGCCCGCCUCGUCAGCACUCCCGGGUAGGUCGCUAGAGGAUGUCGGCAACGGCAUUCCCAGAUACAUGACUGUCGCCGGCGCUGCGGCGUUCCGGUAACAGAACUCGGCUUAUGACCGGCUUCUCAC
rnacentral:RNase_P_RNA from 2 species